UCGACAAAAUAUAGCAUCGAAACGGGUGCAAAUAUAGAAGCAAUUUCGUCCAACCCGACUUUUACCCCGCAAACGGAAAAAACCAGUCGAGAGGGAGGAAGAGAAACACACACAGUGACACACAGAAUGAUGAAGGAAGAAGCCAUAAGCUCCUCCGGCGAUCCUCUGCUGCCACCCAAGUCUUCCUCUCCUCCGCCUACCCCCACUCCCGCUGCUAGUUCUGCAGGGGCAUCUUCUCCUACUGUUCCAGUAAAUGUUGGCAGCACAGACUGGGCAGCACAGGGCUCAAAAGCAGGCUCUGUUUCCCGUGUUGGGUUACAGCGCAUAGGGACUUCUUUGAGUACCAGUGCUGGUGGUUCUGCUCUUGGAUCAUCACAGCCUUCGUGUAGACCCUGGGAAAGGGGUGAUCUAUUGAGACGGCUCUCAACAUUCAAACCCACAGACUGGCUUGGAAAGCCUAAGGCUGCAGGUUCUAUGGCUUGUGCCAGAAGGGGCUGGAUAAAUGUGGAUGCUGAUAAGAUUGAAUGCGAGUCAUGUGGUGCAAAUCUCAAAUUUAUUUCCUCAGCUACCUGGACUCCUUCUGAAGCUGAUGUUGCUGGUGAAGAUUUUGCAAAAAAACUUGAUGAAGGGCAUAAAAUCACUUGUCCAUGGAGGGGAAAUAGCUGUGCAGAAAGCUUGGUCCAGUUCCCCCCUACUCCACCUUCUGCCCUAAUUGGUGGUUAUAAGGAUCGUGCUGAUGGAUUACUUCAGUUCCCUUCCCUCCCUAUUGUGGCUGCAUCUGCAAUUGAGCAUAUGCGAGUUUCUAGAGGUUCAGAAAUUGAUUCUUUUCUAGCUCAAUCACAGGGUUUUGGAGGUGUUGAACCUUUCUUUAGGCCAGAGGUUAUGUCUGGAGCUGAGAACACCAGAGAAGAUGCUUUCUUUAUAUACUCUCGUGCUCAGAAGCUGAUAAGCCUUUGUGGAUGGGAGCCAAGGUGGCUUCGAAAUGUCCAAGACUGUGAAGAAUACUCAGCUCAGUCGGCUAGGAAUGGAUGUUCAACAAGUCCGACAAAAAAUCAUGGUCCUCCACAAGAUCUUGGCCGUGGCAAGAAGGUACUGUCUUGUUCAAAGAAAAGGGAUACUGUUAAAAAUGAAGUUGUGUGCCCCAUGUCAAAAGGUGAAUCUAGGUCACCUUUGUUGGAUUGUAGUUUGUGUGGAGCUACAGUGAGAAUCUUGGACUUCCUUACUGUUACUCGUCCUGCUUGCUUUGCUCCCAAUAGCAUUGAUAUCCCUGAAACAAGCAAAAAGAUGGCAUUAACACGAGGAGUAAGUGCUGCCAGUGGAAUAAGUGGGUGGGUUGCUACUGAUGGUAUGGAAAAGGAGCAGACAGAGGACCAUGAUGAAGCAGCAACAGAUGAGGGAAGGUCAUUGUCGAAUAAUGGUGUGGAUCUGAAUCUUACAAUGGCAGGUGGGCUGUCCUGCUCACAACUACGCAAGAGUUUAGGUCCUGACCAGUUUCAAGAUGUGCAUAAGAGAAGAGAUCCAAUGAUUGGACAGCCUUCUAGCAGUGAGGUUGGUGACCGUGCGGCUUCAUACGAGUCUCGUGGUCCUAGUUCUAACAAGCGUCAUUUAGAGGAACAUGGAAGCACUGCUGACAGGCCACAAUUGGUAGUACAACAAGCGGACAGCGUUGAGGGAACUGUAAUAGACCGUGAUGGAGAUGAAGUCAAUGAUGACAGUCAGUACUCAGCUGGUCCUUCAAAACGCCCCCGUGAGUCAGAUCCUCUAGAAAUUCAUCACUCAUCAUAUGGGAAAAAUGCAGCUGGUGCUGGUCCUAGCUUGUCACUUGGUAUUGAGGUUGGAACAGAUGGCCAAAGAGAUGAUCCUUUCAACCAAGGUCAUGAACAGGUGAUUGGUUUCCCAGCUACAAGAGAUUCAACACAUGUUUCAUCUGUUAUUGCUAUGGACACAUUUCAUUGUGCAGAUGAUGAUUCAAUGGAAAGUGUUGAAAAUUAUCCAGCAGAUGUUGGUGAUAUUGAAUUCCCUUCAACAUCAGGUGUAAAAAGCACGGAUCCAUUUGAGGUGUCUGAGUUAAACUAUAGCAAUCAAGCACAGCAGAGUGCUUGUCCUGCUGCUAUUAGGAGUGCUGGUGAAAUUGGUGUUAGUAGCACAAAUGAUGAGGAAGUUUUAAAUGCAGAUACUGCAACUGCUCAUGCUAGGGACGGCCUUAGUUUUGGGAUUAGUGGAGGAAGUAUAGGAAUGGGAGCUAGCCAUGAAGCUGAAAUUCAUGGGAUGGAUGCUUCUGUGCAUAGAGCUGAUAGUGUUGUUGGUGAUGUGGAACCAAUUGCUGAAAUCACUGAAAACGAAGGUCAAACCGGUGAAUUUGGUCCUGAUCCUGGACUGAUGGGUGACUAUGUUCCAGAGGAAAUGGACCGGGAGGAUCCUAAUGGUGAUAGUCAAGAUCUAACAUCUCGCUCUGUGGGAAGAGCUGAUAGUGGUUCAAAAAUUCUUGGCUCAGCCAAGGCAGAAUCCAUCGAAAGUGCUGAGAAGACCAGCCAUGGUCCCUCUACACCCAAUAAUAGUGCACAUCCCUCUCUUUCUUGCAAUGCUAUUUUAUUGUCUGUGCAUGAGGCAUCAAAGGAAGAAGUUACCCAGGAUGCCCAGGUUGCCCAGGUUGCCAAUGCACUGACUACUGAAGAUGGUGGAUAUGUGGUGGAGUCAGGCUUCUUGGUUGCAAAGGGGACAGAAAGUGUUCUUCAGGGCCUUCCAAUGGGGAAAGUGGUUAUAAAGAAGCUGUUGAGUUUGACCCAGUUAACCAUCAUAACCCUUUCUGCCCUUGGGUCAAUGGAAAUGUUGCUGCAGCUGGCUGCACCAGUAGUAGUGGUUCCAGUUCCAGUGCUGGUGCUCUUGCUCUUUGUGGUUGGCAGCUAACUUUAGAUGCUUUGGAUUCUUUGUCGCUUGGAAAUGUUCCAAUCCAAACUGUGGAGUCCGAAUCAGCUGCUUCUUUGUAUAAGGAUGAUCAUCGAUCUGCUGGUCGGAAACUCUUGGCACGAAACUCAUUUAGCAAAAGUCGUGGAGGGAAUUAACAGUGAAUUAUAAGGUUUUAUAGGUCUAUAAUGCAAGCUGCCCAAUCAAGUGGUCUCAGUUUGUGUGAGAUCCUGAAUUGUUGAACCAUUUGAUGAUUCCUUGAGAUGUUCCAUUGAGCCAGAAGACUUUUCUUUUACUUAAAAUAUUGUUUCGGUUAUAGCUUCGCUUAUGAAGCUGUUUUGUGUUAGCUGUUAUGUUUCUGGAGAUGCCAAGGUAUUUGUGGGUGUAACUCUUAUUCACCGCAAUUCCUUGCUCUUGCUUUUCUUGUUUUUACAGUAUAAAUGAUAAUAAGACCUUGUAGUAUGGCAAUGCCAAUUUAGCUAUGUUCUAGCUAGUGAGUUGGAAAUUGUCUACAAGACCAAUCUGUAUUUAUUUGCUUAUUAUGUUAUUUGAUAGGAACAUUAAGAAUCUCUUAUACUUGAUUUUAUAGAGUAUCAUAAAUUCAAUGUUUGGAAUUUCCAUUUAAUUUCUAAUA